rnacentral:rRNA from 1 species
UACGAAGGGGGCUAGCGUUGUUCGGAAUUACUGGGCGUAAAGGGCGCGUAGGCGGUCCCUCAAGUCAGGCGUGAAAGCCCCGGGCUCAACCUGGGAACCGCGCUUGAGACUGAUGGGCUAGAGUUCGGGAGAGGAUGGUGGAAUUCCCAGUGUAGAGGUGAAAUUCGUAGAUAUUGGGAAGAACACCGGUGGCGAAGGCGGCUAUCUGGCCCGUAAUUGACGCUGAGGCGCGAAAGCGUGGGGAGCAAACAGG